GACGAACGCUGGCGGCGUGCCUAAUACAUGCAAGUCGAGCGGAACUGGGGGAGCUUGCUCCUUCCAGUUUAGCGGCGGACGGGUGAGUAACACGUGGGCAACCUGCCCUGCAGAUCGGGAUAACUCCGGGAAACCGGUGCUAAUACCGAAUAGUUUGGCGCCUCUCCUGAGGCGCUACGGAAAGACGGAUUCGGCUGUCACUUCAGGAUGGGCCCGCGGCGCAUUAACUAGUUGGUGGGGUAACGGCCCACCAAGGCGACGAUGCGUAGCCGACCUGAGAGGGUGACCGGCCACACUGGGACUGAGACACGGCCCAGACUCCUACGGGAGGCAGCAGUAGGGAAUCUUCCGCAAUGGACGCAAGUCUGACGGAGCAACGCCGCGUGAGUGACGAAGGUUUUCGGAUCGUAAAACUCUGUUGUGAGGGAAGAACACGUACCAACUAACUAUUGGUACCUUGACGGUACCUCACCAGAAAGCCACGGCUAACUACGUGCCAGCCGCCGCGGUAA
rnacentral:rRNA from 1 species